AUCGGGCUGACGAGUCCCAAAUAGGACGAAAUGCGCGUUACUCUGGAU
rnacentral:hammerhead_ribozyme from 1 species